UCUGGAGGAUACAGAAAGCAUAGCCUGAUGAAACAAGACUCUUCUGAUACAAUCCUCCUACUAAAAGGGUUCAGAGAGAGCAGCCCUGCCUGAGGACCCUCAGAGGACUAGCUGCACCUCCCAACAUUC